CACCGCCCGUCACACCACGAAAGCCUGUUGUACCCGAAGCUGGUGAGCUAACCCGUAAGGGAGGCAGCUAUCUAAGGUAUGACCGGUGAUUGGGGUGAAGUCGUAACAAGGUAGCCGUAGGGGAACCUGCGGCUGGAUCACCUCCUUU
rnacentral:rRNA from 1 species